CCUAAAACUUAGAGUAUAAUUAAAAAAAAAACAAAAAACAAAAAAACAAAAAAAAAAAAACUGAAGAAUACCAAGAUAAAAAAAAAAAAAAAAUACCUGGUACAGCAUAAUUUAUAAAGAAAACAUUUUAUUUCUUAUUUGUAUGGAAUCUGAGAAGUCCCAGGUUGAGGAGUUCUGUCUGGUCCCACCUCUCAAUACUGGCACUUUGGGGAUGAAGUUGCAACAUGAAUUUUGGAGAUGACAUUCAUACCACAGCAGAAAGGAAAAGGUUUCUAGAACAUUUUGACUACAGACAUUUCGUUCUUAAAGAAGUCGUGUUAUACUUAGGUAAUAUUUGUUAGAUUCUUUGAGGAGUGAGAAACGGCUUGAAUUAUCAAUAUGCUUUCCCAGUUUGCUUUAUAAAACCAAGUGGCUAUUCUCUCAUUAGUGAAAAUCAUAAAACUCUGCACACUUAUGUCCCUGUGGGUAUAUACGCUUUACUUUUCUCUUAUCCCUUAUUUCCUCCUUGAUUCUAUGAGACUAGUUAUGGGUAAUGCUUGCUCCAUAGAAGUUUUAAUCGAAUAGCUUUCUCACUUUGAUUUGCCUCUAGAUAAUAGUUUGCUUUCUUAAUUAAUGCUGUAAAAACACACAUUAUGAUCUUUACCUGAAAGAUGUUUUGAUUAACGCCAGUACCUAUGGUUUUGGUUGACUAAAGUACUCUUUUCCCCCUGCAGAGAAGCUGUGCUCCGUUAAGCAGCUGCUUCAUUUCACCCCAGAGGUUGCUGCAUUUUGCUAACUGUAAAAAUAAUGUUUUGUUUAUGAUACAAUUUGUAAGGAGUUCUUCAUAUCAAUGGAAAUAAAAUUCCCUCCCACCCCCAACCCACCCACCCAUUCUCUGAGAAAGAUAAGCAUCUCUCUCUCACUCUGGCUCUUCCUUUUUGCUCUUUCUCAUUCGAUUUCCCCCUUCCUCUCAAAUGCAGUCUCUGUGUCUGUAUAACUUCACAUAAUAGAAUGCCUAUGAGCACUCUUGAAAAACUACUCGUCAUAAUAAUGAUAAUGAGAAUAGUGGCAAUUUAUUGAGCAAUUCCUAUGUGCUUGGCUUUAUUAUAAGGUUUUUACAUGGCAUUGUCUCAAUUGUUAACAAACAGUCCUUUAAAGUAUAAAAUAUUAUUAUUCCCCUUGUAUAGAGGAAACCAGCUGAGGUUCAGAGAGGUUAUACAGCAACUAAGCAGAACAGCUGCGCUGUGCCUGCUAUGAAUCCAUCCAUUCUUUGAAUUGAAAUUAAGCAUUCUCAUUCAGUACAUGGCUACUAGUCACUUGAAAUAACAGACACUAACAAAUAUUAGCCAAUGUCCAUAUAGUAGUUAGAGUUUUUGUUCUAAAGUGCAAAUUGGAUCAUGACACUCUCCCACUUAAAAUUAUUCAGUUGACCCCAGUUUCCUUCAAAAUAAAGUUCACUUUUGUUGUGUAUCCUGUCUUCAUGGUCUGGUUCUAGCUUAUGAUCUGGAUUCCAUCUCUCCUAAUCCCUAUCCUGCUUAAGUCAGCCUUAUUGCCAGGGCCUUGUAUAUUUCCCUUUGUCUAUUUGCAAUAUACUUCUUUCCCUACCCAGUCUGGAUCCUACUCCUCUUGGAGUCUGAACUAGGAAAAUUCUACUUCUGGAUGGCCUUCUUGACAGUCCCAGCCUCCCCUAUUUGGUUCUGUCUUCAUGCUCUUGUAAUCCCAAGCUUGCAUAUCUCUUUAUUUGCUUACUGGAUUUUUCCCUCUUACUGCUAUCCUGGGGGAAGGAGCAGCUCCUUCCUCAUUACGUUUCCAUCCACAAAGUGCCUGUCAUUGAGUAACAAUAAUAAAAAGAUAUGUUUAACAAAUGAAUAAACACAGAACUAAGGCUGAACUUAAAUAAUACCCGGGGACAAAUUUAAGAGUUAACAUAUGUUAAUGCUUGUCCCUUCAAACUUACCUACAGGAAAAUGAUUUCUGUCUCCUUAUAAGUCAGUGCAUAGUGGUUGGUUUAGGGAUGGCAUGAGAACAAAACCUGGCAAAAGAACUAGGUUAAUUUGGCUAGAACUAUUGGGAACUAUCGGGAAGAAUAGUUCUUCCCGAUAGUUCUACAGAAAACUUUUUCUGUAAAGAACUAGGUAGUAAUACUUUUUGCUUUCUCAAGGGCAGUAAGCUGAGGAAAUAUAGAUCUGGAUCUGUUGAUGUGUUCCAAAUCAAAAAGCCUGGUCAAAAAGAAAAAUUAUAUAUAUAUAUAUAAAAUAUAUAUUUAUAAUGUAUAUUUAAUAUAUAUUAUAUAUUAAUAUAUAAUGUAUAUACAUAUAAAAUUGCCUAAGUCAAUCUAUGUUGGGGUUCUACAACUUUUUGCUGAAAUAAUCUUGACUAACACCCUGCUUUGAUUUAUGCUUUCAUAUCUCUUCCCUAUUCCGCCCUUCUGUCAAUCAUUAAAUGUUCGCCUGAGUUAUUCUGAAAUGUAGAUGUGACUAUGUAACUUCCCUUCCUAAAGUGCCUCGGUGAUUCCUCAUGACUUUUCAAUGACUGCUUUGGUGUUGAAUAGAACCCCGGUCUGCCUAUCCAGUUCCAUUUAAUGUUACCUCCUCAUGGGCCACAGUUCUAAGUCUACGCUUGACAUUCGCUGUACAUAACAUAAUGUUUCACUUUUCCGGGGCUUGGCAGAUACACAUUACUUUCUGUCUGAGUAGCGUUCUCACCCAGACUUGUGAAUGUGUGUUCUUACAUUAAGACCUUGAUGAAAUAUCAUCACUUCCCUAUACUUCCACUUAGUUGCUUCAUCUUUUUCUCUCAUGGAAAAUUUAAACCUGCUUCUUCUAGCAUUCAUUGCACUGCAUGGUAAUUGUUUAAUCCUGUG
rnacentral:lncRNA from 1 species